CACAUCGGGACUGAGACACGGCCCGAACUCCUACGGGAGGCAGCAGUGGGGAAUAUUGGACAAUGGGGGGAACCCUGAUCCAGCCAUGCCGCGUGUGUGAAGAAGGCCCUCGGGUUGUAAAGCACUUUCAGCGAGGAAGAACGCCUAGCGGUUAAUACCCGCUAGGAAAGACAUCACUCGCAGAAGAAGCACCGGCUAACUCCGUGCCAGCAGCCGCGGUAAUACGGAGGGUGCAAGCGUUAAUCGGAAUUACUGGGCGUAAAGCGCGCGUAGGUGGCUUGAUAAGCCGGUUGUGAAAGCCCCGGGCUCAACCUGGGAACGGCAUCCGGAACUGUCAAGCUAGAGUGCAGGAGAGGAAGGUAGAAUUCCCGGUGUAGCGGUGAAAUGCGUAGAGAUCGGGAGGAAUACCAGUGGCGAAGGCGGCCUUCUGGACUGACACUGACACUGAGGUGCGAAAGCGUGGGUAGCAAACAGGAUUAGAUACCCUGGUAGUCCACGCCGUAAACGAUGUCGACCAGCCGUUGGGUGCCUAGCGCACUUUGUGGCGAAGUUAACGCGAUAAGUCGACCGCCUGGGGAGUACGGCCGCAAGGUUAAAACUCAAAUGAAUUGACGGGGGCCCGCACAAGCGGUGGAGCAUGUGGUUUAAUUCGAUGCAACGCGAAGAACCUUACCUACUCUUGACAUCCUGCGAAUUUGGUAGAGAUACCUUAGUGCCUUCGGGAACGCAGAGACAGGUGCUGCA
rnacentral:rRNA from 1 species